rnacentral:rRNA from 1 species
UACGUAGGGGGCGAGCGUUGUCCGGAUUUACUGGCGUAAAGAGCGCGUAGGCGGAAAUUUAAGCGUGGCCUGAAAGCCCCGGCUCCAACCCGGGGAGUGCGGCUGCGAACUGGGUUCUUGAGGACGAUAGAGGAGAGUGGAAUUCCUGGUGUAGCGGUGAAAUGACGUAGAUAUCAGGAGGAACACCGAUGGCGAAGGCAGGUCUCUGGGCCACUACUGACGCUGAGAAGCGAAAGCAUGGGGAGCGAACAGG